UUCUGGUAGUAGACGCCGAAGCUGAGGCCAUCCUCGUCGAGGGAGUCGAAGAUGGUCUUCUGGGGAAAGCCAUGAACGAGGUCCCGGCGCACGUUGCUGGUGGCGCCGUGGGAGGUGGCGGAGUGAACGUAGAAGCGGUUGGGCUGGGUGGAGGCCGGGACGGAGGCGAACCACCGGUCGAACACCGCGAACUCCUCCGCGAGGGCGGAGUAGACGGGGACGGCAUCGGGGGCGAAGCCCCGCAUGACGGUACUGGCCAUCCCCUCGCCCAUGCUCUCAGCCUGCUGGGCGAAGCCGCUCAUGGGGGCGGGCACGGCGGCGGUGUCCUCGGAACCGAAGAUCUGCUCGCGGAUGGCCUGGAAGGAGUGGCCGGGGUCAGAGUCGACGUAGGCGGCGCCAUCGGAGACGAAGACCUCCGGGGAGGAAGGGUCGGAGGCGUUAAGGCGGUUGUACUCGUGGCCGGUGAGACCGUCGAUGUCUGGGCGGCCGCCCUUGGUCCGGAGCCAACCCAGCAUGUGGUCGAACGACCGGUUCUCCAUCACCAGCACAACCAGGGUCUUGAUCGGCCCCUUGAUCUCGUGCUUCGCCUUCUUCUUCCUCCUUCCCGACACCGCCCUCUCGGCGUCCAGGCAGUGGGCGGAGGUCACCAGGUAGAGCAAGAAAACGGCCACCACCAGGAGCCUCCGCCGCGCCCGCCGCCCGCCCUGAGCCACCAAAUCCAUCUCCCUGCCGCCCCACGGAGGAGCCCGGACGAAAGAGUCCCAAAGAGCUCCUCCCUUGCUCAGAGACAAGAGAAAGAAAGGGGAGGUUUUCUCGAGUGCGGUUG
rnacentral:lncRNA from 1 species